CUAUGCGCCUUGCCAGCCCCGCUCAGAAACUUAAAGGAAUUGACGGGGCCCGCACAAGCGGAGGAGCAUGUGGUUUAAUUCGAUGAUACGCGAGGAACCUUACCUGGGCUCGAACGUAAGAUGACUGUAGGUGAAAGCUUACAUCUCUUCGGAGCAUUUUACGAGGUGCUGCAUGGUUGUCGUCAGCUCGUGCCGUGAGGUGUCGGGUUAAGUCCCGUAACGAGCGCAACCCUUGUCCUUAGUUACCAGCACGUUAUGGUGGGCACUCUAAGGAGACUGCCGGUGACAAACCGGAGGAAGGUGGGGAUGACGUCAAGUCAUCAUGGCCCUUACGGCCUGGGCUACACACGUGCUACAAUGGUCGGUACAAAGGGUUGCCAAGCCGCGAGGUGGAGCUAAUCCCAUAAAACCGAUCGUAGUCCGGAUCGCAGUCUGCAACUCGACUGCGUGAAGUCGGAAUCGCUAGUAAUCGUGAAUCAGAAUGUCACGGUGAAUACGUUCCCGGGCCUU
rnacentral:rRNA from 1 species